GAUGAAGAACGCAGCGAAAUGCGAUAAGUAAUGCGAAUUGCAGAAUUCCGUGAGUCAUCGAAUCUUUGAACGCACAUUGCACCCUUUGGCAUUCCGAAGGGCAUGCCUGUUCGAGCGUCAUUUAUCAACCCUCAAGCCCGGCUUGCGGUUGGGUCCCGCCGUGGGCGACCACGGCGGACCCGAAAGGUAAUGGCGGUGCCCGUGGGGCCCUGGACGCAGCGAGCUUCUCGGCACGCGUCCCGGCGGUCCCCGGCGCCGUCUCCACCAAUCCACCACGCAGAUUGACCUCGGAUCAGGUAGGGAUACCCGCUGAACUUAAGCAUAUCAAUAAGCGGAGGA
rnacentral:misc_RNA from 1 species